rnacentral:rRNA from 1 species
GACGAACGCUGGCGGCGUGCUUAACACAUGCAAGUCGAACGGUAAGGCCCUUCGGGGUACACGAGUGGCGAACGGGUGAGUAACACGUGGGUGAUCUGCCCUGCACUUCGGGAUAAGCCUGGGAAACUGGGUCUAAUACCGGAUAGGACCACUGCCUGCAUGGGUGGUGGUGGAAAGCUUUUGCGGGGUGGGCUGGGCCCGCGGCCUAUCAGCUUGUUGGGGGGGUGAUGGCCUACCAAGGCGACGACGGGUAGCCGGCCUGAGAGGGUGACCCGCCACACUGGGACUGAGAUACGGCCCAGACUACUACGGGAGGCGGCAGUGGGGAAUAUUGCACAAUGGGGGCAAGCCUGAUGCAGCGACGCCGCGUGAGGGAUGACGGCCUUCGGGUUGUAAACCUCUUUCAGCACCGACGAAGCGCAAGUGACGGUAGGUGCAGAAGAAGGACCGGCCAACUACGUGCCAGCCGCCGCCGUAA